CUGCAAUGUUCCACGGUAGGCGUGAAUGUGACCCUUACAUAGCUUCGCUGGUCAUCUAUGUCAAUCGCAUCUUCUGUUAUAACUUUCAGCUCUUCCAGAGAAUAGGGAUGCUCUGGAUCUUUUAUAUCUCUAAUAUGGUCAAAAAUUUCUAGCUGGUCGAUAGUUUCAGCUGAAUGUUCAGCCGUACUUGGAGCAAUCCUAGCUUGACGCUCCUUCUCAUACACAAUGGGAUUAGCAUUUAUCAAUUCAGAAACCAUUUUCAAGUCUGACCUUGGUAAGAUUCACCUGUCAUUUACAAUG
rnacentral:misc_RNA from 1 species